AACCCUGAACCCAAACAACCCGACCUCCAAGUUCAUGAUGAAGCUCACUUCAGGUCACUAAGAUAUGGCUGUGAGUAGAUAUGGUGUGUUUCAAACAGAAGUGGAGAAUAAUGAGUUAAUUCUUUCAAAUCGGGCCCAACCUUCACUGGUUAAAGCGAUGCCGUCCACGUUGUGCACCCGAGGGCUGUGGAAGAUGGAUGGCAGAAUGACAUGCUGGGGGAGGGGUGCUUUACAUCUGAAACUUUGAAGAGGCAUGUGUGGUCAUGUAGGUUUUAAAUGUCCUUUUUUAUUCCAUCCUAAUCAGUUCUAAGUCCGAUAAAUGUCCUUUAGCAACAGGUUACGUAUCUCUGACUUACAAGACUGUCAUAAAUUGCACCACUGCCCUCCAUGAUCCCAAUGUGUGCCUAUUCGGUUAUUAAGCAGUGACAUACGUGCCAAGGGCCAAGGGGCCAAGGCCAGGGCCAGGGCCAAGUGUGUCUCUCUUCAAGCCUCUGCUGUCUCACUAUCUGGGACUCCACUGUCACACAGAUGAGGAAAUGGCAGCAGUUACUAAUUCAUAUUUUUUAAUUAAUGGAAUUGAUGGAAUUCAGAUGCUUUUAAACCAUCAAUAAUUCCUGUCUGGUGAAAAAAAAAAGCGGUUGGAGAGCCAUUAGAUGAAAGUGUAUCUUUGGUCUUUAAACACAGGCUAGAAAUUUGGUUCUUUCUUCUGGUUCCUGUUUUUCCUCUACUACUCCCCCUCACUACCUGCACUACUGUCCUGAGGAGGGUGCGGAUGAUUAGUUGGCAUGUCAGCGCAUCUGCAAGUCAUUCCUAAUCCCCUCAGCUACUUAAACCUCCCCGUGAAGCUAAUUAACUUUUGGUUCUCUUUACAUCGCAGGGCUGGCACAUAUCAGACUGAAAGGAAAAUCCUGUCUGCACUCUACUGAGAAGUUGAGGGUUCUUGGUUCAAACCCCAGUGCGGAAAAAUCAUAGAGGGUUUUCUGGUAAUCAGGGAAGCUUCAAAGCACAGAACAUGGUACUGAACCCACAAAUGGGCACAUAGAGCCCUGUGAUGAAUCGGUGACUCAUCCAGGGGUGGACCCUGCCUUCGCCCAUAUGCCCCCCCCCCCCCCCCCCCCUCUUCCUGUGUGCGCUAGAGGAAUAAAGAUUAUCAAUUCUGCUGUGAUCCAGAAUAAACUCCCCUUUCACUGAAUUCUCAUCCACCUUUCAUGUCUCUUUACUAAAACCACUACCAACAGUCUUCUCCCCCCCGGUUCAUUGAUAACCUAACCUCCAUACUCUCUAUCUGGAUAAUUGGUGACAAUUGUGUAGUUAAAAACUACCUGUGGAGUCAUCCUGUUGCAAGGUACUUGCAUUCCCUUUCAGUCUUUUGAGUUGAGGCUUCAUGCAGAGUUUUAUUGCUUAGAAUACUUCUUGUCAUCCAUUAGUGUUUGAGUCCCUCACAACCUCACCUCUAGCUUCAAACUUGUCCAAAAGGUGUUGGGGGCACAGUUACUGGAAAAGCUAC
rnacentral:lncRNA from 1 species